AAGUAUAGAGGAACAAGAGGGAGAAUCGAAGUGAGAAGAUGAUAGGAGAGGAUGUGAGGGAGGAGUAACAAAAGUGAAAACAAAAACUAAAAACUGAAAUCUAUUUAAAAUUGUUUUCACUUUUGUUACUUCUUCCUUCCAUCUUUCUCUCUCAACUUUUCUCUCAAUCUCACAAUCACUCUCAUUUUUCUCUGCACUCU
rnacentral:snoRNA from 1 species